rnacentral:rRNA from 1 species
GAUGAACGCUGGCGGCGUGCCUAAUACAUGCAAGUCGAGCGAACGGACGAGAAGAUUGUAGCUCUGAUAUUAGCGGCGGACGGGUGAGUAACACGUGGAUAACCUACCUAUAAGACUGGGAUAACUUCGGGAAACCGGAGCUAAUACCGGAUGAUAUUUUGAACCGCAUGGUUGAAAAGUGAAAGACGGGCUGGCUGUGACAUAUAGAUGGAUCCGCGCUGCAUUAGGUAGUAGCUAAGGUAACGGCUUACCAAGGCAACGAUGCAUAGCCGACCUGAGAGGGUGCCCGGCCACACUGGAACUGAGCCACCCUCCAGACUCCUACGGGAGGCCCCAGCAGGCAAUCUUCCGCAAUGGGCGAAAUCCUGACGAAGCACCGCCGCGUGGGUUAUGCAGGGCUUCGGCUCGUAAUACUCUGUUUUUCGCGAAGAACAUAUGUGUAUGUUGCUGUGCACAUCCUGACGGUACCUAACCAGCAAGCCACGGCUAACCCCGUC